GUUAUAAAAAAUUUUAAUUCCUAAAAGUUAAAGUGGAUACAUUCUUUGGAUCGUUUACAGUCAACUGCUUAUACAUAUAAAUUAAACGCUUGCAAUGCGACCUUGUACAACUGUUCGUGGCAGAUUAUUGAUGUGUAGAAGGGUUUGCUAAUUUACGUACAUGAUGGAGGUAAAAACCACUCCGUUUCUCAGUAUGCUGCGGAAGCCCUUUAAAUUGCAGCUUCAGGCCCCCCUGAAUUUUCAUUGAAAAUAUCGUACCAUUGAUUUUCACACGAUCGUUGAACACAACCAGCCAGUUGAUCAUUGAUGAAUACUAUACCAUCGCUUACACUAAGUAA